rnacentral:tRNA from 1 species
AAGAUUUUAAGUUAUUCAAAACUAUAAACCUUCAAAGUUUAAAAAAUAAACAUUUUAUAAAUCUUA